GCACUGCUGAGGAGUCCCAUCCCGGGCGAAACGGUCGUCCAGUGC
rnacentral:hammerhead_ribozyme from 1 species